UAAGUAAACAGUGUGAAAUAAGACAGC
rnacentral:piRNA from 1 species